CACUGUCCUCUGUGCACAACAGCAAACGUUUGCUUUGUUGUUAUUUUGUUUUGUUUCUGAGAGAGGAGGCUUGCCUAAAAGUUGAUGGGCAGAGAAUGCCCUUGAUCUCCUGACUUUCCAUCCGUUUCCCACAUCCUGAGAUUUGGACACCAUGACAGUUAAUGCAGCGCUGGUGGUUAAACCCAGGGCUACAUACCUAGCCCUAAUGAAACAUCCGAAAGGGCAGAGUCUGUAGCCAGCUGUGAUGUCCUUGAGGACAAGAGCCAGGUUUCUGCUCAGGAUGGUUUCCACAGCCUGGCACAGGACCCGGUACACACCUAACAUGUUCAAUGAUCACUCAUUGGCUGGCUGAGUGCUUAAGAACUAGAAUGCAGACAGGGAAACACUUGAACAAACCCUCAAGGUCAAAGAGCAGCUUUGGAGCUCUGGCUCCAUCCUGGGCCGGUCUCUGGGCACCUGCCUUGGUGUGAUCCCAGCAUUCCAAAGACUUAGGAUGGGACUAGACAUGCCUCCUGAACGAGAUCAGCUGCAAGAGUACAUGGGGGACAAAUGCGGAGUGCCGCAGGGCCUGCUUCGCACGUGGUGGAACAUCACAAAUAUUUGCUGAAUUAUGAAUGGAAGAUAUUUCAAAAUAAGUUUGGAAACCUCUUUUCUGGAAAUGGUCCCUCUUCUGCGUAAAUAUUAGGUUUGGAUUCGUGCAAAA